rnacentral:rRNA from 1 species
UACGGAAGGCAGCAGGGGGAAUAUUGCACAAUGGGCGCAAGCCUGAUGCAGCCAUGCCGCGUGUAUGAAGAAGGCCUUCGGGUUGUAAAGUACUUUCAGUCGUGAGGAAGGUGUUAAGGUUAAUAACCUUAGCAAUUGACGUUAGCGACAGAAGAAGCACCGGCUAACUCCGUGCCAGCAGCCGCGGUAAUACGGAGGGUGCGAGCGUUAAUCGGAAUUACUGGGCGUAAAGGGCACGCAGGCGGUUAAUUAAGUUGGAUGUGAAAUCCCCGGGCUUAACCUGGGAAUGGCAUUCAAGCUGGUUAGCUAGAGUCUUGUAGAGGGGGGUUAGAAUUCCAUAUGUAGCGGUGAAAUGGCGUAGAGAUGUGGAGGAAUACCGGUGGCGAAGGCGGCCCCUGGACAAAGACUGACGCUCAUGUGCGAAAGCGUGGGGAGCAAACAGGGAUUAGAUACC